UAAGUAUCGAUUUAAUUGUGGUAAGUAGAAAUUGAAUCAGUUUGGUUAUGGCUGGAUCUCCCUUGCCGGGAUAGUUUAUUAUAUUACCUUUUUUCCUUGCCGGGAUAGUAUAUUAUAAGAUCUUCUCCCUUGCCGGGAUUAUAUUGUGUACUGCAUUGAAAAAAUGUGGCACACCGACCAUGAGAUAUUAUGAAAUGGGAUCGUGUGGCACGCCGACAAUGAGAUAUUAUGAAAUGAAAAUGUCUGGCACGCCGACCACGUGAUAUUAUGUAAUGGGAGCAAGUGGUACGCCUACCACGUGAUAUAAGGAAAUUAGAUUGUGUUGCACGCUUG
rnacentral:lncRNA from 1 species